rnacentral:pre_miRNA from 1 species
UAUUAAAAAAUUUAUCUAUUUUUACUAUUAAAAACUGUCAUGGCUAAUAAAAAAAACUAAACAGUUAUAUGUGACAUGCCAUGUAUACCUUAUGAUGAUGUAUAGAGACAAAUUUUAAUAGUAAAAUAAAUAAAAAUUUUAAUA